AGGGCACCACCAGGAGUGGAGCCUGCGGCUUAAUUUGACUCAACACGGGAAAACUCACCCGGCCCGGACACUGGAAGGAUUGACAGAUUGAGAGCUCUUUCUUGAUUCAGUGGGUGGUGGUGCAUGGCCGUUCUUAGUUGGUGGAGUGAUUUGUCUGGUUAAUUCCGAUAACGAACGAGACUCUAGCCUACUAAAUAGAUCGUCGGCUUACAAACGCCGGCGAGACUUCUUAGAGGGACAGGCGGUGAUUCAACCGCACGAAACAGAGCAAUAACAGGUCUGUGAUGCCCUUAGAUGUCCGGGGCCGCACGCGCGCUACACUGAAGUGAUCAGCGUGCUUUUUCAACCUACUCUGUCAAGAGUGGGGAACCCAAUGGACCUUCUUCGUGAUUGGGAUAGGGGAUUGUAAUUAUUCCCCUUGAACGAGGAAUUCCCAGUAAGCGCGAGUCAUAAGCUCGCGUUGAUUACGUCCCUGCCCUUUGUACACACCGCCCGUCGCUACUACCGAUUGAAUGUUUU
rnacentral:rRNA from 1 species